CCCGCUGAAUUUAAGCAUAUUAAUAAGCGGAGGAAAAGAAACUAACAAGGAUUCCCUCAGUAACGGCGAGUGAAGCGGGAAGAGCUCAAAUUUGAAAUCUCCGGUGCUUGCAUCGGCGAGUUGUAGUUGCGAGAAGCACUUUCUAGGUGGAUCGGCGGUGCCUAAGUUGCUUGGAACAGCACGUCGCAGAGGGUGACAACCCCGUCUGUGGCGCCGCCGGCCGCUGACGAUGUGCUUUCGAAGAGUCGGGUUGUUUGGGAAUGCAGCCCAAAAUGGGUGGUAAACUCCAUCUAAAGCUAAAUACUGGCGUGAGACCGAUAGCGAACAAGUACCGUGAGGGAAAGAUGAAAAGAACUUUGAAAAGAGAGUUAAAAAGUACGUGAAACCGUCGGAAGGGAAACGAAUGGACUCAGCAAUGCGCCCUCUGAGAUUCAGCCGCGUGGGUGGCGUCGGCGCGGGGUUUGCGGAUCUGAAUGGACCGCGGCCCGGCGCUCGCUGCUCCCCGCCGUCGCACUUCUCUGGGGCGCGCGUCAACGUGGGUUGGGACUGGGUCUGAAAGGUGCCGGGAAGGUAGGUGUGGGCCUUCGGGUCCGUUCUGUUACAGCCCGGUUCUCUCAUGGCUCGGGCCCGACCGAGGAGCAGACAGGGCAUGCCUCCUGUGGCUAGGGUCCCGUCCUUCCGGCCGGCUGUCCAGUGUGGUGGACUGCUUGCAGUGCUCUGCGACGGCUGCCGGUCGUUGGGGUGGUGAUCUCGUACCAUGCCCUUGGGAUGUUGGCGGUCAUAUGGGUGC
rnacentral:rRNA from 1 species